AUUGAACGCUGGCGGCAGGCUUAACACAUGCAAGUCGAAAGAGUGGCGGACGGGUGCGUAAUGGUUGGGAAACUGCCUUAUGGAGGGGGAUAACUACGGGAAACGGUAGCUAAUACCGCAUACCAUCGGAUGAGCCCAAGUGGGAUUAGGUAGUUGGUGGGGUAAAGGCUCACCAAGCCGACGAUCCCUAGCUGGUCUGAGAGGAUGACCAGCCACACUGGAACUGAGACACGGCCCAGACUCCUACGGGAGGCAGCAGUGGGGAAUAUUGCACAAUGGGGGCAACCCUGACGCAGCCAUGCCGCGUGUGUGAAGAAGGCCUUCGGGUUGUAAAGUUCUUUCGGUGGCGAGGCGUUAUCUACAGAAGAAGCACCGGCUAACUCCGUGCCAGCAGCCGCGGUAAUAC
rnacentral:rRNA from 1 species